AGCGAACGCUGGCGGCAGGCCUAACACAUGCAAGUCGAACGAACCUUUCGGGGUUAGUGGCGGACGGGUGAGUAACACGUGGGAACGUGCCUUUAGGUUCGGAAUAACUCAGGGAAACUUGUGCUAAUACCGAAUGUGCCCUUCGGGGGAAAGAUACGUCGCCUUUGGGGCGGCCGGCGUCUUUUUGGCUAGUUGGUUGAGGUAAUGGCUCACCAAGGCGACGAUCAGUAGCUGGUCUAGGAGGAGGAUCAGCAACAUUGGGACUGGGACACGGCCCAAACUCUGACGGAAGGCAGCAGGGGGGAACCUGGCGCAAUGGGCGAAAGCCGGACGCAGCCGGGCCGGGUGAAUGUUGAGGUUCUAAGGAUUGGAAACUUCUUUAACCGGGGACGAUAAGAACGGAACCCGAGAAAAAGGCCCCGGCAACUUUGUG
rnacentral:rRNA from 1 species